AUGCAAUGAUGAAUAUUACUGUGUACCAGAGGAGUCUCCUAUGUUGGUUGCACAAUCCCUCUAAGAAGUUCUGAGCUU